rnacentral:rRNA from 1 species
CCUACGGGCGGCAGCAGUGAGGAAUAUUGGUCAAUGGACGAGAGUCUGAACCAGCCAAGUAGCGUGAAGGAUGACUGCCCUAUGGGUUGUAAACUUCUUUUAUAUGGGAAUAAAAUGUUCCACGUGUGGGAUUUUGUAUGUACCAUAUGAAUAAGGAUCGGCUAACUCCGUGCCAGCAGCCGCGGUAAUACGGAGGAUCCGAGCGUUAUCCGGAUUUAUUGGGGUUAAAGGGAGCGUAGGUGGAUUGUUAAGUCAGUUGUGAAAGUUUGCGGCUCAACCGUAAAAUUGCAGUUGAAACUGGCAGUCUUGAGUACAGUAGAGGUGGGCGGAAUUCGUGGUGUAGCGGUGAAAUGCUUAGAUAUCACGAAGAACUCCGAUUGCGAAGGCAGUUCACUGGACUGCAACUGACACUGAGGCUCGAAAGUGUGGGUAUCAAACAGGAUUAGAUACCCGUGC